rnacentral:SRP_RNA from 1 species
CGUCGGUCACCUCGCAACGAUACGUUACGAACUCCGCCAGGCCCGGAAGGGAGCAACGGUAGUAAUGGACUCGUGUGCCGGGGAGCGGCGGGCGUGG